CCUACGGGGGGCAGCAGUGGGGAAUAUUGGACAAUGGGGGCAACCCUGAUCCAGCCAUGCCGCGUGUGUGAAGAAGGCCCUCGGGUUGUAAAGCACUUUCAGUGAGGAAGAACGCCUGGUGGUUAAUACCCAUCAGGAAAGACAUCACUCACAGAAGAAGCACCGGCUAACUCCGUGCCAGCAGCCGCGGUAAUACGGAGGGUGCGAGCGUUAAUCGGAAUUACUGGGCGUAAAGCGCGCGUAGGUGGCUUGAUAAGCCGGUUGUGAAAGCCCCGGGCUCAACCUGGGAACGGCAUCCGGAACUGUCAAGCUAGAGUGCAGGAGAGGAAGGUAGAAUUCCCGGUGUAGCGGUGAAAUGCGUAGAGAUCGGGAGGAAUACCAGUGGCGAAGGCGGCCUUCUGGACUGACACUGACACUGAGGUGCGAAAGCCUGGGUAGCAAACAGGAUUAGAUACCCCUGUAGUC
rnacentral:rRNA from 1 species